rnacentral:rRNA from 1 species
AGAGUUUGAUCCUGGCUCAGGAUGAACGCUGGCGGCAUGCCUAAUACAUGCAAGUCGAACGAGAGACCUUCGGGUCUCUAGUGGCGAACGGGUGAGUAACACGUAGGGAACCUGCCCGCGCACCGGGAAUACGCUCUGGAAACGGAGAACAAAUCCCGAUGUACAGGAAGGAGGCAUCUUCUUUCUGUGAAACAUCCUUUAGGGGAUGGGGCGCGGAUGGACCUGCGGUGCAUUAGUUGGUUGGCGGGGUAAAGGCCCACCAAGACGAUGAUGCAUAGCCGGCCUGAGAGGGCGGACGGCCACAUUGGGACUGAGACACGGCCCAGACUCCUGCGGGAGGCAGCAGUAGGGGAUUUUCGUCAAUGGGCGCAAGCCUGAACGAGCGAUGCCGCGUGAGUGAAGAAGGCCUUCGGGUCGUAAAGCUCUGUUGCGGGGGAAAAAAGGCAGCAUCAGGAAAUGGGUGCUGACUGAUGGUGCCCCGCCAGAAAGUCACGGCUAACUACGUGCCAGCAGCCGCGGUAAUACGUAGGUGGCGAGCGUUAUCCGGAAUGAUUGGGCGUAAAGGGUGCGCAGGCGGUCCUGCAAGUCUGGAGUGAAACGCAUGAGCUCAACUCAUGCAUGGCUUUGGAAACUGGAGGACUGGAGAGCAGGAGAGGGCGGUGGAACUCCAUGUGUAGCGGUAAAAUGCGUAGAUAUAUGGAAGAACACCAGUGGCGAAGGCGGCCGCCUGGCCUGUUGCUGACGCUGAGGCACGAAAGCGUGGGGAGCAAAUAGGAUUAGAUACCCUAGUAGUCCACGCUGUAAACGAUCAAUACUAGGUGUGCGGGGACUGACCCCCUGCGUGCCGCAGCUAACGCAAUAAGUAUUGCACCUGGGGAGUACGAUCGCAAGGUUGAAACUCAAAGGAAUUGACGGGGGCCCGCACAAGCGGUGGAUUAUGUGGUUUAAUUCGAAGCAACGCGAAGAACCUUACCAGGGCUUGACAUCCUGCUAACGAGGUAGAGGUACGUCAGGUGCCCUUCGGGGAAAGCAGAGACAGGUUGUGCAUGGUUGUCGUCAGCUCGUGUCGUGAGAUGUUGGGUUAAGUCCCGCAACGAGCGCAACCCUUAUUGUUAGUUGCUACGCAAGAGCACUCUAGCGAGACUGCCGUUGACAAAACGGAGGAAGGUGGGGACGACGUCAAAUCAUCAUGCCCCUUAUGUCCUGGGCUACACACGUAAUACAAUGGCGGUUAACAGAGGGAUGCGAUACCGUGAGGUGGAGCGAACCCCUAAAAGCCGUCCCAGUUCAGAUGGCAGUCUGCAACUCGACUGCGUGAAGUCGGAAUCGCUAGUAAUCGCGGAUCAGCAUGCCGCGGUGAAU